UACCCUACGGGAGGCAGCAGUGGGGAAUAUUGCACAAUGGGGGAAACCCUGAUGGAGCAACGCCGCGUGAGUGAAGAAGGGUUUCGGCUCGUAAAGCUCUGUUGGUAGUGAAGAAAGAUAGAGGUAGUAACUGGCCUUUAUUUGACGGUAAUUUCUUAGAAAGUCACGGCUAACUACGUGCCAGCAGCCGCGGUAAUACGUAGGUGGCAAGCGGUGUCCGGAUUUAUUGGGCGUAAAGCGAGUGCAGGCGGUUCCAUAA
rnacentral:rRNA from 1 species